rnacentral:lncRNA from 1 species
ACUGCCGGGGCUGGGCCCGGCCGCGGGAAGGACCGAAGGGGAUACAGCGUGUCCCUGCGGCGGCUGCAAGAGGACUAAGCAUGGAUGGCAGCCGGAGAGUCAGAGCAACCUCUGUCCUUCCCAGAUAUGGUCCACCGUGCCUAUUUAAAGGACACUUGAGCACCAAAAGUAAUGCUUUUUGCACUGACUCCUCUUCUCUCAGACUAAGCACUCUCCAGCUGGUCAAGAAUCACAUGGCUGUUCACUAUAAUAAAAUCCUUUCAGCCAAAGCUGCAGUAGACUGCUCGGUUCCAGUAAGCAUGCAGACCAACAACGAAGAGAGAAACUCAAAAAGGAAUUAGCACAAUGUGAAAAAGAGUUCAAAUUAACUAAAACUGCAAUGCGAGCCAAUUAUAAAAAUAAUUCCAAGUCACUUUUUAAUACCUUACAAAAGCCCUCAGGCGAACCGCAAAUUGAGGAUGACAUGUUAAAAGAAGAAAUGAAUGGAUUUUCAUCCUUUGCAAGGUCACUAGUACCCUCUUCAGAGAGACUACACCUAAGUCUACAUAAAUCCAGUAAAGUCAUCACAAAUGGUCCUGAGAAGAACUCCAGUUCCUCCCCGUCCAGUGUGGAUUAUGCAGCCUCCGGGCCCCGGAAACUGAGCUCUGGAGCCCUGUAUGGCAGAAGGCCCAGAAGCACAUUCCCAAAUUCCCACCGGUUUCAGUUAGUCAUUUCGAAAGCACCCAGUGGGGAUCUUUUGGAUAAACAUUCUGAACUCUUUUCUAACAAACAAUUGCCAUUCACUCCUCGCACUUUAAAAACAGA